UAGGGAAUUUUCGUCAAUGGGGGGAACCCUGAACGAGCAAUGCCGCGUGUGUGAAGAAGGUCUUCGGAUCGUAAAGCACUGUUGUAAGUGAAGAAUGCCACAUAGAGGAAAUGCUAUGUGGGUGACGGUAGCUUACCAGAAAGCCACGGCUAACUACGUGCCAGCAGCCGCGGUAAUACGUAGGUGGCAAGCGUUAUCCGGAAUCAUUGGGCGUAAAGGGUGCGUAGGUGACACGAUAAGUCUGAAGUAAAAGGCAACAGCUCAACUGUUGUAUGCUUUGGAAACUGUCGAGCUAGAGUGCAGAAGAGGGCGAUGGAAUUCCAUGUGUAGCGGUAAAAUGCGUAGAUAUAUGGAGGAACACCAGUGGCGAAGGCGGUCGCCUGGUCUGUAACUGACACUGAUGCACGAAAGCGUGGGGAGCAAAUAGGAUUAGAUACC
rnacentral:rRNA from 1 species